rnacentral:rRNA from 1 species
GAACACGCCGCGUGAGUGAUGAAGGUUUUCGGAUCGUAAAGCUCUGUUGCCCUAGACGAACAGCAAGGCGAGUAACUGCGCUUUGUGUGACGGUAUAGGAGAAGAAAGCCCCGGCUAACUACGCGCCAGCAGCCGCGGUAAUACGUAGGGGGCAAGCGUUGUCCGGAAUUAUUGGGCGUAAAGCGCGCGCAGGCGGUUAAUUAAGUUGGGUGUUUAAGCCCGGGGCUCAACCCCGGUUCGCAUCCAAAACUGGUUGACUUGAGUGUAGGAGAGGAAAGUGGAAUUCCACGUGUAGCGGUGAAAUGCGUAGAGAUGUGGAGGAACACCAGUGGCGAAGGCGACUUUCUGGCCUAUAACUGACGCUGAGGCGCGAAAGCGUGGGGAGCAAACAGGAUUAGAUACCCUGGUAGUCCACGCCGUAAACGAUGCAUACUAGGUGUCGGGGAUUCGAUUUCUCGGUGCCGAAGUAAACACAGUAAGUAUGCCGCCUGGGGAGUACGCUCGCAAGAGUGAAACUCA